UACCGGAAUCUGAGUUGACCAAGUUGGUGUUUUGCAUUUAUAUUGAUUGCAAUUGUUGAAGUUGUAAUAUUGUUUUUGAGCCAUUUGCUAAUUUUUUAUGUUGCAAAUAUUUUCUUUGCCGUUAACCGGAAAGAAUAAAUUUGCACAGUUGGUUGUUUGAAAAUUGUUGAAUUUUUUAGACAAUGAUGUGUUUUUGACCAUACCCAUUUGAAAAUAUGGAUUGGUUUUAUGAGUGCUGACCAUGUUGAGUGUUAGCAUGCUUCAGGUCUACAAUAAUAAGAUUUAUUAAUUAAAAAAUAAAUCAAUUUAUUUUAGAGUGAAGCAAAGUUUUUUAAUUAUUCCGGAAUUUUUUAUUCCGGACAUUUGUACAGUUUUGGUUUACGUUUAACAAACUUCCUUUUUGAAAAAGGCAGCAACCGGGAUGCACAUGAAAUAGUUGUGAGAAAAAUAUUUUCCCCUCCCACCCUUGUUACCCCUUUGAUUUGUUUAAAUAUAAGAAUUUUACUGCGUAUUGAACUUUAUAUUUCAGGAUGAGCUUCAAGAAAUCAUUGAUGGGAAAAAGGUUCACAGAUUCAGUAUUGGUUAACCUUCACAGUUUUUUAAUUGACUAAAGUCAAUUAAGGAGUCUCGACUAGAAAACCAACCACUUCAUGAAAUUGCAUUUUGAAGAAUGUGCUUCUUGUUGUUUCUGUCUUCAUGCUAGAUGAAUGCGCGUGUUGUUCCCGAUCUACUUGUGCACAAUUGAUGUGCAGUUGAAAUUAUUUGAUAAUGACAAUUUGAAGUUGAACAAUUUUUGUCUCGGGUUGCCGUUUACCGGAAUCUGAGUUGACCAAGUUGGUGUUUUGCAUUUAUAUUGAUUGCAAUUGUUGAAGUUGUAAUAUUGUUUUUGAGCCAUUUGCUAAUUUUUUAUGUUGCAAAUAUUUUCUUUGCCGUUAACCGGAAAGAAUAAAUUUGCACAGUUGGUUGUUUGAAAAUUGUUGAAUUUUUUAGACAAUGAUGUGUUUUUGACCAUACCCAUUUGAAAAUAUGGAUUGGUUUUAUGAGUGCUGACCAUGUUGAGUGUUAGCAUGCUUCAGGUCUACAAUAA